UUGCUCGCUUCGGCAGCACACAACUAAAAAAAAAAAUUGAACGAUACAGAGAAGAUUAGCAUAGCCCCUGCACAAGGACGACACACAAAUUCGUGAAGCAUUCUAUAUUUUU
rnacentral:snRNA from 1 species